UACCCGCUGAACUUAAGCAUAUCAAUAAGCGGAGGAAAAGAAACCAACCGGGAUUACCUCAGUAACGGCGAGUGAAGCGGUAACAGCUCAAAUUUGAAAUCUGGCUCCUCUGGAGUCCGAGUUGUAAUUUGUAGAAGAUGCUUUGGGUUGUGGGUUCGGCCUAAGUUCCUUGGAACAGGACGUCAUAGAGGGUGAGAAUCCCGUAUGCGGCCGAGGCCCGCGCCUAUGUAAAGCUCUUUCAACGAGUCGAGUUGUUUGGGAAUGCAGCUCAAAAUGGGUGGUAAAUUUCAUCUAAAGCUAAAUAUGGGCCAGAGACCGAUAGCGCACAAGUAGAGUGAUCGAAAGAUGAAAAGCACUUUGGAAAGAGAGUUAAACAGUACGUGAAAUUGUUGAAAGGGAAGCGCUUGCACCCAGACUUGGGCGCUGCUGAUCACCUUGCGGUCUCCGCGAGUGCACUCGACAGCGCACAGGCCAGCAUCGGUUCGGGUGGCUGGAUAAAGGCCGUAGGAACGUAGCUCCCUUCGGGGAGUGUUAUAGCCUAGGGUGCCAUGCAGCCCAGCCGGACCGAGGACCGCGCCUUCGGGCUAGGAUGCUGGCGUAUGAGAUAACAACUAAACGUGUU
rnacentral:rRNA from 1 species